rnacentral:rRNA from 1 species
AUGGCGCUCGCCGCCGCGCCCUCCCGCCGGUUCCCCGCCGCUCCUCCCCGACCACCGCCGUCUUCGCCUCUCCAGAGACACGCCCACUUCCGCCCUCAGAACCCACGUCGCACCCCUUCUCCACUCCUCGCCGCCGCGGUCGCCGCCCCGCUCACCGCAGCGGACACGGAGGGGCGGAAGCACGAGCUGCUGCGGGCGGUGCAGGAGACGGGGCGCGGCUCGGGGGCCAGCCCCGACCAGCGCGCGGCCAUCGAGGAUGCCAUCGUGUCCGUGGAGGAGCUCGGCGCCGGGGAGGGGGCACCGCUGGACCUCGCUGCGCUCGACGGCACCUGGAGGCUGUGCUACACGUCUGCGUCGGACGUGCUUAUGCUCUUCGAGGCGGCCGAGAGACUCCCUCUCCUGCAGGUAGGGCAAAUAUACCAGAAAUUUGAGUGCAAGGGUCGGUCGGAUGGUGGAAUUGUGCGGAAUGUCGUGCGUUGGAGCAUCGAGAACUUGCUGGAGGAGCAAGAGGGUGCAACACUGAUGGUCUCUGCAAAAUUUGAUGUUCUGUCUAAGAGCAACAUAUUUCUUCAGUUCGAGGAGGUUGCUGUAGAGAAUAUCAAGAUUAGUGAGCAGCUACAAGCACUGAUAGCUCCUGCUAUACUUCCUCGGUCUUUUUUGAGUCUUCAGAUAUUGCAGUUCCUUAAAACUUUCCGAGCUCAAGUUCCUAUCAGCGGCCCGGAAAGACGAUCGCCUGGAGGACUAUACUAUCUUUCUUACCUUGACCGUGACAUGCUCCUGGGGCGUUCAGUUGGCGGUGGUGGUGUUUUUAUUUUCACAAGAGCCCAGCCUCUAUUAUGA